rnacentral:rRNA from 1 species
AGGACGAACGCUGGCGGCGUGCCUAACACAUGCAAGUCGAACGAGGUCCAUCCGGUAGCAAUACUGGUGAAGAUCAAGUGGCGAACGGGUGAGUAGCACGUGAGCAACCUGCCCCGAAGACUGGGACAACACCGGGAAACCGGUGCUAAUACCGGAUAUCCCCACCGAGUCGCAUGGUUUGGUGAGGAAAUGUUUUUCGCUUUGGGAGGGGCUCGCGGCCUAUCAGCUUGUUGGUGAGGUAACGGCUCACCAAGGCUUCGACGGGUAGCUGGUCUGAGAGGACGAUCAGCCACACUGGGACUGAGACACGGCCCAGACUCCUACGGGAGGCAGCAGUGGGGAAUCUUGCACAAUGGGCGAAAGCCUGAUGCAGCAACGCCGCGUGAGGGACGAAGGCUUUCUGAGUUGUAAACCUCUUUCAGCAGGGACGAUUGUGACGGUACCUGCAGAAGAAGCCCCGGCAACUACGUGCCAGCAGCCGCGGUAA